rnacentral:rRNA from 1 species
UACGUAGGGGGCAAGCGUUGUCCGGAAUCAUUGGGCGUAAAGCGCGCGUAGGUGGCCCCAUAAGUCCGCUGUGAAAGUCAAAGGCUCAACCUUUGAAAGCCGGUGGAUACUGUGGGACUAGAGUACGGAAGAGGCGAGUGGAAUUCCUGGUGUAGCGGUGGAAUGCGCAGAUAUCGGGAAGAACACCCGUGGCGAAGGCGGCACUCUGGGACGGUACUGACGCUGAGACGCGAAAGCGUGGGGAGCGAACAGG